UGAUCAGAGGUCAAAGCUGUCAAGCUGUCAAAGUGUUCAAUUGGAAAAUAUAAAAUAUCGACAUAAUUUUUUUAAACUGCUUGUUUCUUAUUUAUAACAAAUAUAUUAUUCUUAAAGUUAAAUAAAAAAAGGAAAAUUGUACGGUUUUCUUAUGGAUAUGAUAUGCCAAUAAUAUAACCACGUGAAAAUAGUCUCAAAGUGUUAACUAUUUAAGUAUGUCUUUGUCUGAAAGUAUGAGCCCCUCAAGAGAUUCUUGUACAUCGGGAAACAGCAGCAUGGCAGGAAGCGAUUCAAAUUUACCAAGAGAUUUUAGCAGACUUUCUUUAUUCUCAACUGGUUCGACGACGUCGUCCCAAGAUGAACAUUUUAGUUGUGUAGGACAUGCAGAACAUAGCUUGUCGUGCAUGAAAAAAUAUUUACAAGCCGGAAAACUAUGUGAUGUUGUAUUAGUAGCCGGACAAAAUGGAAGAAAAGUAGCUGCACAUAGAUUAGUACUUUCUGCAGCAAGCGAGUACUUUGCUACAAUGUUUACAGGAAGUUUAAGUAAUGAUGAACAAAGAGAGAUUACUUUGGUUGACAUUAAUGGUGAUGUAUUGCAAGCAGUUGUAAAUUAUUGUUACACUGGCACAAUAGAGAUAAGGGAAGAUAAUGUUGAAACGCUGUUGGCCACAGCAUGUCUGAUGCUUUUACAUGAAGUAGUUGAAGCUUGUUCUAGAUUUUUAGCUCAUCAAUUGCAUCCCAGUAACUGUUUAGGAAUUGCUAUAUUUGCAGAACAUCAAUCUUGUACCAGUCUAUUAAAUGAAGCUAAUGCUUACACUAAUCAACAUUUUAUGCAGGUAAUUCUAAACCAAGAAUUUCUUCAAUUAAAUGUGGAUCAAAUGUGCAGUUUGUUAAACAGCGACGAUCUGAAUGUAACCUGUGAAGAGCAAGUCUUUAACGCAUUGAUGAGUUGGAUACAGCAUGAACCAGCAAAAAGGAAAAAGCAUAUCAGCAAAUUGUUGGCUUUAGUUAAGUUGCCAUUUUUGACUCCUGCAUUCUUAUCGGACCAAGUUGAACCUGCCAUUGGUAGUGACACUUUCUGUCAAAAACUCAUCAUGGAAGCUAUGAAAUGGCAUUUGUUACCUGAAAGAAGGGUGCAGAUGUCUUGUAGCAGAACCAGGCCUAGGAAAGCAACAAUUGGAAGAUUAAUGAUUGUGGGUGGUAUAGAUAAUAACAAAGGUGCUACUACUAUUGAAAGCUAUGACCCAAGAUCUGACACAUGGAUGACAGCUCAUCAUAUGAGUGGAAGAAGAUUACAGUUUGGAAUAGCUUUAAUGGAUGACAAGCUUUUGGUGGUUGGAGGAAGAGAUGGUCUGAAAACUUUGAACACCAUGGAAUGCCUUGACCUAAAAACCAACACUUGGACCCAGCUGUCGCCUAUGAACACCCACAGGCACGGCUUGGGCGUGGCCAUACUGGGUGGAACUCUAUACGCAGUAGGCGGCCACGACGGCUGGAGUUACCUCAGCACCGUGGAACGAUGGGAUCCGACCACCCGCUCUUGGCAGUACGUGGCCGCUAUGCAAAACCAACGCUGCUCGGCGGGCGUGGUGGUUCUCAACGGGAAACUCUACGCCAUCGGAGGCAGGGACGGGCCCAACUGCCUCAGAACGGUGGAAUGCUACGACCCGCACACGAACAAGUGGACGUUGAUCCCGCCCCUGUCACGCCCCAAAGGCUGCGUGGGCGUAGCCACGGCCAAUGGUCACCUCUACGUGAUGGGAGGCCAAGACGCGGCCGCGAACAGUCCCAUAUCUUCGAGGUUCGAUUGCGUGGAAAGGUACGAUCCUACGACGGAAACAUGGACGACGGUAAGUACGAUGUCGGGGAAAAGAGAUUCGGUGGCUUGCACCCCGUUUGGGGAUAAAUUGUACGCGAUAGGCGGGUACGAUGGGAACGUUUAUUUAAAGAGCGUUGAGGCGUACGAUCCGGUAAGUAAUGAAUGGAUCUCAUUGGCCCCUCUUAAAACAGGUCGGGCUGGAUCUUGCGCUGUAGCCGUUGAUAAUCGUCUGUUCGAAAAAGGCGAAUAAUAAUUAUAAAAAGUACCAUAUAGACUAUAGACCCUGUGAACAGUAUAAAGAUAUAAGGAGUAGGUUAAAAUAUAUGAGUAUCCAGUUGUUGAAGAUUGAACUUUUUCUUUGUUGAUAGUAUUACUCGGAGGUAUUACAAUUGCAAUUAAAAACUUGUAUUAAAACAGCGGACGGUAUUACUGACAACUUUAUUGUUCCGCCAUCUUCUUUCGUCUUCUUUUUGACAGACAUACUUUUAAUCUUAAGGUCGUCCCACACGUACAGUAACUAAAGGCAACUUUACACAUAAAAAUAGGAAAACAGAAAACAAUAAAAACACUGAAUGACUAUUAAACACCAAUUCAAUUAUAUUAAACUACCUAAGUCUGACAUCAAGUCAGUGGACAAAGAUUAAAACUUUUCCAAACUAAGCCAUAAACGCAGAUGCAAAAUUAAAUAAGCUAUUAGAUAUUCAAUUGACUUCAUUUUUGUUACAAUAAGAAUCAUGUAUUUAAUUCUAUGAUAUGUAAAAAAUCAACCAUUGGUAUAGCCUGAAACUGCUGUAUAAUUUAUUUUUAUUACAAACGGCAACAUUGUUGGGUAUGCGAGUUGACUAGUGGAACGUAGAAGCUUCUGUCGUCAUAAUCUCUAUAGUUAAAUUAAAUUAAAACAGGUUAAACAAACCCUCAGAUUGUUAAUAGCGAAUCGGGUUGUUUGUCUCCCUCUCUGUCUAUUAGUUUCUCGAUAACGAUAAAGAAAGAGACUACCGAACAAUCCCGCCGAAACAUCCACUACUCGUAUUGAUGAGUCAUCGCAAACGAUGCGAUUAUAUUUUAUUUAUCAUUCAUUAAAAAAAUUUGAAUUAUUUUUCAACAAUCGGAUGAUGACGAUUAUUUUCAUAAUCGAAUUAUGAAUAAUUUAAUAAUUUGAUUAUCCCAUCACUAAUUUUUAUCAAAUUGUAGGUAAAGCUCUUCAGCACAACAAUGAGGAAAAUGGAAGAAAUAACAUCUUAAAAUUAUAUUUAUGGUCUUUUAUCUGUACUGCCAUGUUAAAAGAAAAACGCCUUAACUACAAUUGAGAUACAAGGUGUCACUAAGCAGAUUCAGAUAUUUUCCAACUAAAUGAGAGGCAAGAAAUACCUUGUCUUGCCUUAUUUUCGGAGUUAUCACGGAAUAUAAUGUUACCUUAAGUGUAAAUUUUACAAUUACGGUAAUAUAAGAGUGCCCUAUCAACAAAUAUUAACACGAAAAAACAUAACUUGUUCAACUCAUUGGAUAAGGAAGUUUUCCUUAACGUGGCAGUGUAUUUGCCGUGAUGCUUGGAAAGGUUCUUAAGCUCCGCCCUUUGAAGUUGUUGAAGGUAAGCUCCGUUGAAGGUUAAGCUCCGCCCUUUGAUUGAAGGUUAACGACUUUAAAGCCGUCUCUGUAGAGAUAUUAAAAUAACAGAACAGCAAUAAGACUCGUAAGAAAGAUAGCUAUAUAUUAAGGUUUCUUUGUUCUACAUGAAUCAAAAGCACAAUAUCCGCAUAUACCAGCCGUUCAGAGUACUACACUACCCUAUUGCUCAUAGUACACUCAGUGCUCAUAGUACAGGCGCAAAUAUCGAUCUGACUCAUCUCUUAUGAGCGACGAGUCAACAUUUAUUGACGAUACUUCAAAAUUUUUCUUUUUUGUAAAGAAAAUUGGUUAUUGUAGAGACAAAACUUCCAAUAGUAUUGUAGUAGUGUACUAUUAAUGGUGACGAGAUAAUCAAAUUCUUAUAUCUUUAUACUGUGUUGUAAAUCUGUAAAGAACAACUUUCUUGUCUAUCUAGAUAUGACCAUAAGCAUUAUAAUUGACACUAAACACAAUAAUUUGACAGUUCUAGACAGACAAGACAUUUCUCCUCUAUUAGUUUACAUAGUCUAUACAAAAAUUCAACGGUGUCAGGUUUCAAUGACGCUUUGACAUAUAUACAAUUGAAUAAAAAUCAAAAUUACUUUUUUGCAAACGAAAAAUCUAUUUAUGUUAGAGCCACAUGUGCAGCUGUUAAAUGAAUCAUGACCUUAGUUGUGGUCCUACCAUUACAAAAAUUGAAAAAUAAGAUUCCUUUGUAAGGACUCAAGACUGAUGAGGCAGCAUUUAUUUUCGCGAUGAAUAUUGAGACUGACCAUCUGUGACAAUGUAUUUUAUGGACUUCUUUAUUAACUUUUAAGAUGGCUUUUUAGGAACCUCGAUAAAUAUAAACUGCCCAAUAAUUUUUAUUAGAUUUAGGCUUGUAUUAAUUUAGUGAAUACAUGACACAUGACUAAAUUUAAGUUUAUUAAAAAUAUAGUAAGGUUUGUUCAAUAAAUCAGAGAAUAUUUGGACAGACAGAAAAUACUAUUUAUCUGUGAGUUAAAAUAACAAACAGAACUGUCAUUGUCAUAAAUCCCCUCGUUGAGCAGACCCUGUUUGGUGAAUAGUAAUAGCAUUUAUUUUUCUUUUAACGAAAUAUCCUAAUGAGUACAAAGAUUAAUAUUUUUAUCAUUAUUUACUAUUUCAUAAGCUGUCAUAUAUUCACUAUACUAUCAUAAACUAAAAUAUUAUUCUUAAUUUUAUAUGUGUAUACCUAAUAGACUAGAAUUAUCUGUAUCGUAAUAUGCAUUUAUAUCAAUUACAAUUUGUAUUAAAAUAACAAUAUAUAAACUUUGUCGAUAACUAAAACUUUUAAAAUACAAAAUGUAUUAUAAAUAGGGGUGUUAAUCUUACAGGAUACAUUAAGAGUUUUAGCUGUCCGCAUUUACUUUUCGCUUCAGUUCAAUCCCGCAAAAUUUUCUGUGAUAUUGUAGUUUUAGUCACAGUAUGAUCUUUGUGUGCUAGGGAAUGGAUAAUUAGUGUGUAAGUUGGUUUUCGUUGAAGGUCAUUCUGUGGCAAUCAAUUUUAUAAAUACAAUGUGAUAAUUAUUGAAAUAGUUUUUUGGGAACCAAAAAUUUGUGUAUCUUGUCAAUAAAAUUUUUCAAUCUGA
rnacentral:misc_RNA from 1 species